UGGGGUGAGGGAACAUUUCUAACCCCACUGCCCCACUCCAUACUUAUUAUUAACCGGGUUUGUUACAGUAGUGCCCAAGGGCAGAGCUCAGGGAGUUUCCUACCGGGGCUGCCAUCCCCCCGGCUGUCUGGUUCUCUUGCUGGGGGGAGUGUAUGGGUGGGGGGGUCCUUCUCCCCUCCUCACUCUCUCUGCGGAUCUCGCUCUUCCUCUCCGCUCCCUUCCUGUGCAUCUGCCCCCCAGCGGGGACACACUGGGGGCCCAGCCCGCCUCUGUCACUGGUGAGGCAAGCUGUCCUGAGGUCAUUGCCCCGUGGAAAGCAAUUGCUGUCUGUCAAAAGAGCUAAGUAUUAAUAUUUGCCUUUCCCUCUCCCCCCAGGGGGCUGUGACCUGUACCUCAGAGGGGGAAGCCCCUAAGUAAAUGUAUGCUGUCUGUAACGAUGCUCCUGUGUGGGCUGGUGGUGAGGGUUCCACUCAAGCCCUCUGUAGCUAAAAACGUGGGCCCCUGCGGCCUGAGUGUCUUUACAGCAGCAGACUGCUAAAGGAGGAAAGAGACUCAUCCGAUUGGCCUGGGUUACAUAUAAACCCAUAUGUCCUUCCCUGCAGGAAUGGGAACAGGCCCGGUAAGAAGAGGGACAUAAGACAGAUGCUGUUAAUGUAAUGACUAGUAGAGGAAAGGGCAUAAAUGCCCCCUAAGCCCCAAAGGAGAGGUGGGGUUCUUUCCUUUGCCAUGUCAAAAGCCGCUGGUGUCUGCCCUCAGGCGAGUCUUGGGUCCUAAGACCAUCCCAAACCUAGUGGGCGUGCCAGGCACUCCCAAGCAAUGGAAGGAGCCAUUAAACUUCUUUGUGAAGUGGAGCCAGUGGCAAACAAUGGGGACUACCGCCCAAGACUAAGCCGGAGCAAUUCUUUUAGAAAGAGACUUCCCAAGCUCGACUGAAAGGUUCCAGUUCAUGGAGAAUCCACCUGGGGAGUUGUUCUCUUUGAUUUAGGUAGUUUUAGGACCCCAGUAGCCAUAACACCCCUGUGAGGGUCAUUGUACAAAGAGGAAACUGAGGCAUGGAGCGUUUAAGUGACUAGCCCAAGGUCAGUUUGUGACAGAGCAAUGGCUUGAACACAGGUCCACCACGUCUCCACCUAGCACCCUAAUGACUAUACCAUCCUUCUUCCCCUUUUUUCAGCUAGAAUAAUACAUUCCUCACACACCAGUCUUCCCAGUGACAUCAGUGGCACUACUCAGCGGAAAGGUGAUGAACUCAGGCCCUGCUAUAUCUUUUGCGAAGUGCCUGGCUCAUUUGAGGGCACUAUAAAAAAAAGUAAAUUCUGCCCCCCAAAAAACUGUAUUAAGGUUCAGAAA
rnacentral:lncRNA from 1 species